UCAGUACAGCUCCGGCCGCCGCGCCGCUUGGCUUUCGUAUUCCUUGUUCUCGGCAGGCUGUGGGGCCUCCGCGCCGCGGCCGUUAGUCAUGUCGGGUAGGUGACUCCUUCAGCGAGCAGCGGCAGCGACGAGAAGGUCCUGGCGGGGUUGGGCUGUCUUCCCGCCCACCGGAGGGCCCCGAGGAGAAGCCUCCGGCCCUGAGGGAGGCUUGGGGUGGGGGGGCGGCCGCUGCGGCCGCCAUGUUGAACUGGAGGCACGCACGCUCCCAACGGCUCUCCGGCUGCAAAUCACGGCGGGAGCGCCUCGGGCCUCUUGUCUUUUGACCCUGUCCUUGGAACCCGGGGAGACUUGCCGUUCCCGGGGGAGGGUGUGUGUGAGGCGGGGGGCGGAGGCCGUCUACGCCAUCGUAGGGGCGGGGGAGCCGAGAUUAGAGCAUCAGCCUGAGAGAAGCGGUGCUUCUGGUUCUCCGCUCCGCCUCGGAUCUUUCAGCGAGGCCUCGGGCCAGUCAUCUCGCCGCCUCGUACCUCAGUUUUCCCAUCCUCGAAGUGGAGCUGGGCCUGCCUGACUCACCCAUUCAUCAGGUGGGGGCCUUGACGCUCUGGGAGCCCUUUCAAAGGACGUUGCCUUACACGAAAUCGUACUUAUCGUUAUUCCCUCUGCAGUAACCACCCGGAUUUGAGUUGGGGGUGUUUGCAUAGUAAUUCAGCUUCUUCACGCUCCUGCCAUUCGUCUUCCCCUCCAGUUUAUCUCCUGAAAGAGUUUGAAAGUGAGCCCUGUCUAUCUAUUAUUGAUAAGCUCCUGUAGGUGUAUGUGGCAUUUACCUUAAAACCUGCAGACCAAAGGAAAGGCAAUCUUUUUUCCCCCCACGAAGCAGUUAACUUGGCAGAGGCCACCCAUUGUGUGGAAGAGAAAGAGAGGCAUUAGUCUCUUCAGGACAACCAGUUUGGAUCCUGCUAAACCAGAAUAAAAAGUCUAGAACAUGGAUGUCCUCUUGAUUUAGCAGACCUAGCUGUUCAUACAAGGUCCUCUGUUGUUAGGCUGCAUCACGGGCCGCAAAGACCCAGGUGUCUAUCCACUUGCUAGAAACCGUCAUGAAAGUUAGAUACCACUUUUCUGCUGGAAAUACAGAACAUUUCCCGAAACCGUAUGGUUGAGGUGAAACAGGCAUUUUGCAGUCUUAUAUUUUGAGUAAGGCCAAACCUGCCUAGUGUUAUAAAACCAGACAAAAAACCCAGGUACCCGGUCUUGAAGGAUAGAAAUGUGUGACUAAAAUGAAGCAUCGAUCUGAGAAGACUACAAAUUAGCGGGAACGUUUGGACAGGAGCAUGUUAUACAUUACUUAGAUUAAUGUUGAUAUUUAAGGAGCGAGGAUAUUGAUUUGUUUUUGAGGGGUGCCCAUCUACUUCAUAUAAGAGGCUAUAAACUGCACUUAUUUCAGUUUCUGCUUAAUCCUUGCUCAAACAAGGAAUAAUUUCUUAUUCCAAAGUAGACAUUGGUACAUCAUUUUCUAGGUACGUAAUUUGGGAUGAAGUCUGAUAAAGCUCCUUAGAAGUACUUAUAUAGUACACCCUCACAAGAGUGUUAUCAUCUACCCAUGGUUUAAACAGAAAUUAAAAUUCUACCCUCGUGGAGAAAUUUGCCAAGUUUUAAUGGUUUCAGUGCUCGUUAAAAACUUUUAGCCUGUCUUGAUCUUUAACAUAAUUAUUGAUAUAAAACAGUGGCUUCUGUGUAAAGUUAAAGUUUUAGUGGUUUGCUGUUUGUAAAAUACAGGCUUUUUCAUGUAUCAUAUAAGCAUAUAAGCUGGCUUAAUCAUUAGUAUUGAUCUUCAAGUUACUAAGACACCAGAUAUUUGUUAUUUUGUAGUUCGAGUUUUUUUUUUAAAUACGAAAUUGGCUUUUCGGUGUGUGAAAAGGACUACUUAUUAGAUGCUUGUUUUUAAAUUAACAUUCAAUUAGUUAAAGCUAGACUAUAUUCUUAGGCUUGGUAUACUAUUUAUAUGUUUUGUAAUAAGUGUAUAAAAUAAUACCUUUGACUUUGUGUAAAAAUAAUGCUUUUGACUUGUUCUUUGAUAAAUGUUUAUUAAAAUCCCCCAAAACAA
rnacentral:sRNA from 1 species